rnacentral:misc_RNA from 1 species
GAUGAAGAACGCAGCGAAAUGCGAUUAGUAAUGUGAAUUGCAGAAUUCAGUGAAUCAUCGAAUCUUUGAACGCACAUUGCGCCCGCCAGUAUUCUGGCGGGCAUGCCUGUCUGAGCGUCAUUUCAACCCUCAUGCCCCUAGGGCGUGGUGUUGGGGAUCGGCCAAAGCCCGCGAGGGACGGCCGGCCCCUAAAUCUAGUGGCGGACCCGUCGUGGCCUCCUCUGCGAAGUAGUGAUAUUCCGCAUCGGAGAGCGAUGAGCCCCUGCCGUUAAACCCCCAACUUUCCAAGGUUGACCUCAGAUCAGGUAGGAAUACCCGCUGAACUUAAGCAUAUCAAUAAGCGGAGGA